AUGAGGGCUGGAGAAACUCCAGGGGA
rnacentral:piRNA from 1 species